GCCAAGGCAUGUCCUCAAUCUCGUUGAACCCAAGUAGAUGGCAAAAUGUCUUUCUUGUCUGAGAGUCGUGAAUUGAAGCUGCUUGUGUGAGCAACUCAGGACGAACUAAGCGUGCCAAGUGAUUCAGGCAAGGGACGUGAGAGCCUCUCAACAAGAGCAUGGCACUCUGUAUGUCUCCCAAUUGAACAAGUUCGUUACACAGUAAGAAUUUUGACUUUGCGAUGUUCGAGCAAGAGGAGGCAACAAAUGAAGGUGUGCCUACGGGUGCUCCAAGAAAGAUGGCUCCAUCAUCAGUGACUGGUAUGCAGUCAAAGCCUUCAACAGGAUCACGUGUAGAAGGGCAGUAGAUCUCACACUUUGAAUCUGCAAUGAUCAUGUUGAUGGCAAAAAAAGACUUUUUCAGAUCUUGAAAGGCAGACUGAAUAUCCGUAGGGUGACCCAGUACAAAGACGUCGUCCAAGUAUGCCAAGAUACGAACCUUCGGAUGCAUCUCCUGAAGAUCUUUUAGAACAGAAUGAAUGGCAGUGGCAAAUAGAACUGGCCCCAGCGGGUCGCCUUGAUGGACCCCUUCUGCAGAUUCGAUUGUAACUGGAGUGAUACCUUGCAUGAAUACCAAUGGGCUGAUCCUCCCAUACAUCUGAGCUACAUGAUUCAAGAUAUCUGGAAAUGACCCGACCACUUGCUCCAACAUCUGUUGUCUGCUGAUGGAAUUGAAUGCAUUUCUGACAUCAGAUUUUAAUACAACCCAGUCGGGAUUGUGCUGGAGGAGUAGCUCAAUGUGAUGGACAAUCAGCUCAGUGCCACACUCGGUUGCCACACCAUGCUGGAUGGGGCAGAAGAAGCUUGAGAACAGUUCCUUUUUUUGUUGACAUAUAGCUCGAGCUGUCAGCCUGCGUAUAGCUUCACCAACUGCAAUAGGUCGUAUGUCGCCAUUGGACUUGGGCAGAGCAAUUAGCCGAGAUGAAGAAAAGAGGGUUACUGCAGCAGCAGGCAAUAUGCCUCUAGCAAUAGCCGAACAAGCGGAAAAAAGACAAUCUGCUGUGAGCUCGUUUUCAAGUAGAACUUUCAAAUGCUCGAAGCGCCAGCCUGAGAGACCUGCACCAGAACCCCGUGGAGCUCGUCUAAUGGCAUCAAACAGCGCUGAGCUUGACAGUUUGAUUGAAUCUUGAGACAAAGAAGGAAGAUGCAACCCCGUGGCUCUGGAAGGGUGCUUGGAAGCCAGCUUUGCUGUGGUAUCUUCUGAGGCAGGAGCUAGGCCUUUGCUGGUUAACAACCUGGAAGCUCUUGAAAGCUCUCCACAUCUCACCAACCUCAGGGUAGCGGCUCUCCGUGCUUCAUCACUACAACGAGGCGUCUUCUUUGAAGUUGAUCCAUUUAGCUGAAGUAGAUCCGACCAAUUCCAACUGAGAAAUUUCUGAUACCUCACUUUGACGUCACGAAAGCCAUGACGUCCUCCCCUGACCAUAGGCGUGAGAAUCAUGCGUGGAAUGAGGAAGAGCAGCUUCCAUGCUAGCUCGUCACCGGGAUUGUCAUGGAUCUUUCGAAGGGCCACAGCACAACAGUCGUGAAAGAGUGCUCGUGCAGCAGGCUUGAUAGUUUGUACAACCCGUGGGGGAAUGGCCUUGAGAAUGGCAUCCGAGGGCAGAUCCCGGAUAAUGUUCCAGGCUGCAGUCUCUAGGUCAGCAUUGGCAUCCUGUAGGGACACGCGCUGAGGUGGAUUAUGACAAGCGGAAUCUCCAGAGAAUGAAUCCGGCACUGUAAGAGACGGCGGCAACUCAGAAAGGGUCUUCCGGACGUUCCUUCCAGGAGAAUGAGCACUGAAGAAGAUUCAGGCGAGCGAUGAAAUCCCCUGGGAGGAGAUUCGGGUCGUGAGCGUCGCGGAUAUGACACAGAACUCUCUUCAGUGUGUCCGAAACAUGACAAGACUCGUAUGGACAUUUCUCGGCAGAAGACAUUGCCAGAGAACGGACAAGCAAGGCGAAAACAACAAGGCUUCAAGU